rnacentral:rRNA from 1 species
AGUGGGGAAUCUUGCGCAAUGGGCGAAAGCCUGACGCAGCAACGCCGCGUGCGGGAUGAAGGCCUUCGGGUUGUAAACCGCUUUCAGUGGGGACGAACCAAGACGGUACCCACAGAAGAAGCCCCGGCCAACUACGUGCCAGCAGCCGCGGUAACACGUAGGGGGCAAGCGUUGUCCGGAUUUAUUGGGCGUAAAGAGCUCGUAGGUGGCUCAGUAAGUCGGGUGUGAAACCUCCAGGCUCAACCUGGAGACGCCACCCGAUACUGCUGUGGCUAGAGUCCAGUAGGGGAGCAUGGAAUUCCUGGUGUAGCGGUGAAAUGCGCAGAUAUCAGGAGGAACACCAGUGGCGAAGGCGGUGCUCUGGGCUGGAACUGACACUGAGGAGCGAAAGCGUGGGGAGCGAA